AUAGGGGAGCCGUAGGGAAACCGAGUCUUAACUGGGCGAAUGAGUUGCAGGGUAUAGACCCGAAACCCGGUGAUCUAGCCAUGGGCAGGUUGAAGGUUGGGUAACACUAACUGGAGGACCGAACCGACUAAUGUUGAAAAAUUAGCGGAUGACUUGUGGCUGGGGGUGAAAGGCCAAUCAAACCGGGAGAUAGCUGGUUCUCCCCGAAAGCUAUUUAGGUAGCGCCUCGUGAACUCAUCUUCGGGGGUAGAGCACUGUUUCGGCUAGGGGGUCAUCCCGACUUACCAACCCGAUGCAAACUACGAAUACCGAAGAAUGUUAUCACGGGAGACACACGGCGGGUGCUAACGUUCGUCGUGAAGAGGGAAACAACCCAGACCGCCAGCUAAGGUCCCAAAGUCAUGGUUAAGUGGGAAACGAAGUGGGAAGGCUCAGACAGCCAGGAUGUUGGCUUAGAAGCAGCCAUCAUUUAAAGAAAGCGUAAUAGCUCACUGGUCGAGUCGGCCUGCGCGGAAGAUGUAACGGGGCUAAACCAUGCACCGAAGCUGCGGCAGCGACAUGUAAAUGUUGUUGGGUAGGGGAGCGUUCUGUAAGCCUGUGAAGGUGUGCUGCGAGGCAUGCUGGAGGUAUCAGAAGUGCGAAUGCUGACAUAAGUAACGAUAAUGCGGGUGAAAAACCCGCACGCCGGAAGACCAAGGGUUCCUGUCCAACGUUAAUCGGGGCAGGGUGAGUCGACCCCUAAGGCGAGGCAGAAAUGCGUAGUCGAUGGGAAACAGGUUAAUAUUCCUGUACUGGUGAUAAUUGCGAUGGGGGGACGGAGAAGGCUAGGCUGGCCGGGCGACGGUUGUCCCGGUUUAAGGAUGUAGGUGGG
rnacentral:rRNA from 1 species